ensembl:lncRNA
UUUUUUUUUUCCCAUAAUCUGGCACUGCAUGGCAUAUGUUAUGCCAUACAAAAAGAAGAACAGGAGUUCCUGUCAUGGCUCAGCAGUAAAGAACCCGAAUAGUAUCCAUGAGGAUGCAGGUUCGAUCUUUGGCCUCACUCAGUGGGUUCAGGAUCCAGCGUUGCUGUGAGCUGUGGUACAGGUCACAAACACGGCUCAGAUCCCGCAUUGCUGUGGCUGUGACAUAGGCCAGCAGCUACAGCUCCAGUUCAACCCCUAGCCUGGGAACUUUCAUGAGCCACAGGUGCAGGCCUAAAAAGCCAAAAAAAAGAACACAGGUGGUAGUGUGUGGCUGUGUGUUAUACACACACAAACCACAAACCUGUAUAUGCGUAUGUGUGGUGUGAGUCCUAGUUCAUGAUUUAAAUCUUCUUACUGUAGCUCAUGAAUAAAAUACCUGAGUGAACAGACUGACCAGACCAUAUCUUCCUGUUACAGACACAGCAGCUGAGACCGGAGGUCCCGUCAGCUGCAGCAGUUCCUUGCUCUUCUCCACAUUCCUUACUGUGGGUAUGUGUGCACAUGAGUGUCUGCAAAGCCGAUAAACAGAAAAUAGACAGUAUGUGCCGAAAAACACUGAAAGAUUCUAAAAAUUCUAAAUUUUAAUACUAAAAGUGAAAAAAAUUUAUGUCAAACAAGACAUAUAUGAUUACGUAAAAUUUUUAAAGGGCUACAUGGCCCAAAAGUAAAUCAAAAUCAAGGCAAUACCUUGGCUCAGUAGUUUUAAAAAAAUAAAUACACAAUGAAAUACAGAAAAAAUACACCAAUAUGCCAAAAAAGGGUCUAUCUACCUAAUAUAUAAUUUAUACUUAAAUUUGAGAAAAACAGCUGAAUAAUAGACAAAUGACAUUAACGAGAAAAUUAUAAAAUAAAUAAAAUAGUUAAUAGCAUUAAAAAUGUACAUUAAAACAAAACACUACUUUUCACCUAUAAAAUUAGCAAAUACGGAAAAAAUAAAUAAAAUUAGCAAAGAUGUCUUCCUUUUAGGUAUUAAUACCUGAUGUUGAUGUGAAAAAAUAGAAGCUUCUCAGAAAUCACUGAUGGGAGUGAAAUAUGUAAAUCUUGGCAGUUAGAUUCAGAAGCUUUAACAAUGUAAUUACUCUUUUAUCCAGUAAUUCUACUACCAGAACUUAUAUUAUGGAAAUAACAAAGGAAAUAUACAAACAUUAUCAAAAGUAUUUUGAAUGAAGAAUUAUACUUAAUAGCAAAAAAUUCUAAUGACCCAUAUAGUCAUCAGUGCGAAUUAGUUAAAUUAUGGCAUAUCUAUAGAAUAGAAUGUUAUUAUGCAACUAUUAAAAGAGAUGAGGUAGAUUUAUAUGUCCUGCCCAUAAUAUAUUGUUAAAUGGAAAAAAAGUAAUAGAUAUAUGAGCAUACAUUUAUAUUUAAAAAUUUUAAACAUUUACUCCCUUUUUACUAAUAUAUAAUAGCCCAAUAUUUUUUAGAAAAAAACUGACAAGUUGCAUUUUUACACAAAAUGUUCUAACAUGACCAGUUUCUUUCAACAAAAAAUAACCAAAAUCAUCACAAAGAAAUGAAAAAAGAAGAAAUAAGUGAAGGAAGGAGAGAAAGAAAAGAGAAAAAGAUGCAGGCAGAUAGGCAAGCAGGCGAGCAGAACAAAAUAUAGGAAAACCCAGCUAUAAAGCUAAGCAAUCCAGAGCCCCCGGUCUUCCAAAAGAACCCAGCAGGAACUAAAAAAGAAAAAAGGUGUUUCAUCAAAAGGGGGGGAAAAAAAGCAGCCCCAAGCAUCCCACAGUAGUACUCAGAGCAGGCAUGAGCCUCAGCCCUGAUCUCCACCCUGUGUGCACUCUUUGAAGGUUAAGACAUGAUGGGAAGAAGCCAAGUCUCAGGCACCCCUGUGAGGUAGUGACAGCAUUACCAGCAGUUCUGGCUCAACUGCAAGGACAACAGAAAAGGCUGGCUAAAGGAACCUGCAGUGUGGGCAAGGAAGGUAAAGAAACUCCUCUUGAGAGGGGUGAGGAGGCUAGGGUCUUCGGUCUUGGUUUUACUCCUAAAAGAACCCUUACGCUUUUCUUGCACACACGAAAAUUAACCUUUUGCCAUCUGGCGGUAUGCAAUCACCUGCUAGGUAUUCGGCCUCACGCCCCAUACAUCUCUUUCUACACAUAUACAAUGCACUACAAACAACUUUAAGUACCAUUCCAUUUCAAAAAGAUGUCAAACAAUUUAAAAAUUACAAUGUAAAACUUCAACUGCCCUUAACAAUCACACACUUAAAAUAAUUAAUUUUCCAAGAACAAUUUUCUCUAUUAUAAAGAUAAAUGCAUAUAAGGCAGCCUCUAACUCUGCAAAAAGACCAAAGAGAUUUCCCUGAAUGCUGGAUGAAUGUUUUUCCUUCACUGAGACAUGCUAAUCAAAAUGUCAAAGAACUAAGUAUUCUCUUCAUAAAAGAAUAAUCUCUAAGAAAGGAAGGGCUAUCAAAUAUUCAUAGAGAUGUGUGAAAUAGUUCAGUCAUAAGCAUCCAGAGUUGGAGGAGUCAGGAAGUGCCGAAUUUGAGUCAUGGAAUACUUACUAUGGAAGGCAGGACAUACCAUAGAUGCCAUGCAUACAGGUCUCAGGAUAGGAUUAAAUUCCGGCAUCCACAGGUGUAUGAUUAACGCAUUCAAAGGCAUCUCUCUCUUGGGAGGGUUCCAUUUCACAUUUCAGAAUAAGGAAAGUCUCAAGACAAACUCUAUUUCAAAAGUUUUCCAGGGAAUAGCCUUGCAUGCCACUUCUCAGAAGAACAAAACAAAACUUACACAAUUUAACUAAAAAGAACUCAAUAUGACGUGAUAAAUGCAAAAUCUAACCACUAUUUAAAAUAUUGCUUGUGUGAUAAAAAUCAAUUCUACAUAUUAACCAAUCCACUUACCAUAAAUUUAAAAUAUAAUUCACAAAUGUUAUUUUUCAAAAUAUUUAACAAAUAAAGCUGCUAAUUAGUGAUAAUCGACAGUAAUAUAAGAACUUUGGACAAUAUUCUUGAUUCUACUAGCUAUUACUUAUGUGACACUAAGAAAAUCAUGAAUUACGUUUCCUCCCAAAUAAAAUGACGGUUUUUAGAUAUAUCAAAUAUAAUACAUUAAGAAAUGUAUAAAUACUCUUCUUACAAUCAGGCUAAAUACUGAACAUUUUUAACAAAGUGACGCUAUUCACUUGUAUGAAUAAAGUUAAAUUUUACAAGAGAAUAACAGAUGCUCAUGGUAUUGAUACAAACUCUUCUUGCUUCUUUUCAACUCUGACAAAAAGAUAUGUGCUCAUCCAAAAAAUAUGAUUUAUAAGACAACACCACUCCAAACAAAGCAAACACGUCAAAGAACAACAACAAUAACAAAACAAUGCAAAGGCCAAAGCUAAAAUAACAGAACACCACCACUGUACCAGAUAUAAACCCUUGCUCAUAAACAAUAGACAC